AACCUAGCACACCUGCGGUGUGUACCUGCGGAGGGAUCAUUACCGAGUGUGGUCCCAUAUAAGGGGCGCCUCCCGUCCUUUGCAGGGCCUUUAGGGGCUUUUUGACUUUGCUUCGGCGGGCUUGCCCCGCCGGAACACCCUCAAGAAAAUCUUUAUGAACCGUUUGUCUGAGUUGCUUGCGAAUAAAAACAAAACUUUCAACAACGGAUCU
rnacentral:misc_RNA from 1 species